GGAUGUGAGAGUGAUCUCGCUGCAACAUCUGUUACCCCAUUAAUCACCAGGGUUGAUUCGCCUGAUCUGGCUGGCUAGGCGGGUAUCCUCUUCCUCCCUCACUGCUCCAUGUGCAUCCCUCUCAAAGACUGUACGCUCAGUGGAAGAGGACAACCAUCCCCAGUAGAGGAGGACCAGUCUUCCAUCAAGGGUAUACGAGUAGCUGCGCUCCCCUGCUGGAACCCCCAAACAAGCUCUUAAAGAGGAAUGAAGACCAAUCUUCAAAAAUCUCUUCCAAAAAUGAAGAGGCUUCACAAAUUUUCUUUGAGGGCAGUAAUUU
ensembl:misc_RNA 7SK 7SK RNA